rnacentral:rRNA from 1 species
UACAGAGGGUGCGAGCGUUGUCCGGAAUCAUUGGGCGUAAAGCGCGUGUAGGCGGUUCGGUAAGUCGGCUGUGAAAGUCCAGGGCUCAACCCUGGGAUGCCGGUCGAUACUGCCGGACUAGAGUUCGGAAGAGGCGAGUGGAAUUCCCGGUGUAGCGGUGAAAUGCGCAGAUAUCGGGAGGAACACCAAUGGCGAAGGCAGCUCGCUGGGACGUUACUGACGCUGAGACGCGAAAGCGUGGGGAGCAAACAGG